UGGAGAAAGACAGAUUUCUUAGCUGAAUUCUUUAAUGAAAAAUGACAUCUGCAGAAUUCCUGGAGUCCCAUCUUAAAAUUUCGAUUCAAAUUUUUGUUUUUCUGCCUUCAUUUCACAUCCUCAAAUCCCUUGUACUGCCUAUUUCAGUGCUAUUGCCUAAUUGCUGAGGCUUUUUUAUUGGGAUCCAGCAGAGCCGUAAGUGAGUUCUGCUCUCACCCCACAGGCACAAGGAGGCUAUGGAGACAUAUCUCUUGUUUCUCUACAAUUAUCUAUGCAAGGAAUCAGUUAUAUUCUUUAAUUGGUGGUACAUCUGAAAAGACACAACAGAGCACUCUCCUUACAGAAAUGGCACAGCUGAUGACAGGCUGUCAGACCCAUCAGAGCCUUCUGAGUACUUUUGCUAAAUGGUUGAACACCAAACCAAAAGCAACUUGAACAAUGUGUUUUUGUCAGCAGCUUUCAAAAUCUACUCCAUUAUAAAUGGCAUAUACACAUGUGAGUAAGUACAUAUUCAUACAGACUCAGUAGCUAAAUGUGUCUUGAUUUAUGGAAAAAUGUUUUUAUUUCUCCUAUGACAGACAAGCUUGAUUUUUAGAGUACAUUCCUAUUUAACAGCAAAUGGAAUGGAAGAACUGCUUAGAACAAAAAGCAGAGUUGGGGGAAGGGACUAUUAUGACAGUGGGAAAGGGUUUGCAUGUGUGGAAAUUAUAAAUAAGAUGUCGUUCAGUGACAUAGGUAACUCCUGUGAGUUUUGCAAGGACACUGUAAAAUAGUACAAGGUGCAAGGGUGAAUGUAAAAUAGUAACUGUCCAAAGAAUCAUUAACAGCUUAUUAGCAGUACCAAACUGUAUUUGAGGUACAGAAUAUGUGACCUUAUUUUAAGCUAUACCUCUCCCUCUUUCUAUGUCUCAGGGGAAAGCAUUAAAUUGUUUUUCGUGGAAAACUUUGCAGUAUUAAGGGAUGAAGAGGUCGUGUGGAAACAGGCUCAACUUCCCAGUUUUAUACUGCUACCGAGAAGAAAGAUGGAAACCUAUUUCAAGUCAUGACUUCUUUGUGAGGAUAAGCAUAGGGGGACUUCAUGAGAAUGUCUGAAGGAGAAUCAAAUCCAAAUACCAACUUUAAUUUCAUACUGCUCUGCAUGUACAAGAUUUUCAUGAGUUCCAUCAGCGCUUUCCAAAUCAAGCUUCAUGCUGAUCACUGAAGAGUGAAAGUGAGAGAAAAUCCUUUCCUAGCAAGUUGCGUAAAUGAUGAAAUUGUUGAGCAGCUACACAAGGAAAAGAGAUUGGUUAUCUCGUGUUAUGUUCAUGUUGUUCUGUGUUAAAUGUAUUUUCUUCAAGUAAACAUGUCAGUCUUUUGUUACAAAGUAACAGUCUUACCUCGACUAUUCCUAUUUUUCCAUCGGUAGUCUUCCCAUAUUGGUCCACAAAAGC